rnacentral:lncRNA from 1 species
AAACAGAGGAUGUCUCUGUCUCAGUCUCCUUCAAUCCUUCUGGCAAUUUCGACAUCUCUGCCUUCGAAUCUCACGACGGUACGUACUAGUAGUACUACCUUAAUUAAUUUUGGUCAUUAAGAUUUUGAAAUACCAAAAAAAAAAGAGAGAGAGAAUGAGCAGAUACGGAGAAAGUGGAACCUCCGAUGCCUCCGACGAGCGGCCGGUACGAAGUAGUGAUCGACAACGAGAGUAUAAGGCGGCUUGAUUUAUCUCCGUUUCAGACAGGCACAGGGAUAACCUCACCUUCAAGGGGUAAGGAAGAGCCAGUAUAAAAUAAUCAUACCAAAAUCAUGAUAUAUGAAGAAUGAGUAGUAAUGAUGUUUUUUUGCGUAGCUGAGCCAAGAGAGUAUUUGGAAAGAACGAUCGGAUUCACGAUAAACUACAAAAGAGAGGAGGCAGGGGACCCGCGUGAGCUGUCGGAGUACCCGGACAUAAGGCUGUGGUUCGUGAGGCUGGAUGCGAUGUACCCUUGGCUUCCUCUUCUUCUUGACUGGCGAGCCGGAGAGCUUGCUCGUUACGCCGCCAUGCUUGUCCCUCACCAGAUGAGCUUGAGGAUGGGUGUCGUUUUCAACCCCGAGGCUCUU